AACGAACGCUGGCGGCAUGCCUAACACAUGCAAGUCGAACGAGACCUUCGGGUCUAGUGGCGCACGGGUGCGUAACGCGUGGGAACCUGCCCUUAGGUUCGGAAUAACUCCCCGAAAGGGGUGCUAAUACCGGAUAAUGUCUUCGGACCAAAGAUUUAUCGCCUUUGGAUGGGCCCGCGUUGGAUUAGCUAGUUGGUAGGGUAAAAGCCUACCAAGGCGACGAUCCAUAGCUGGUCUGAGAGGAUGAUCAGCCACACUGGGACUGAGACACGGCCCAGACUCCUACGGGAGGCAGCAGUGGGGAAUAGUGGACAAUGGGCGAAAGCCUGAUCCAGCAAUGCCGCGUGAGUGAUGAAGGCCUUAGAGUUGUAAAGCUCUAUUACCCGGGAUGAUAAUGACAGUACCGGGAGAAUAAGCUCCGGCUAACUCCGUG
rnacentral:rRNA from 1 species